rnacentral:rRNA from 1 species
UACGGAGGGUGCGAGCGUUGUCCGGAAUCAUUGGGCGUAAAGGGCGCGUAGGUGGCCCGGUCAGUCCGUGGUGAAAGCGCGGGGCUCAACCCCGCGUCGGCCAUGGAUACUGCUGGGCUGGAGCACUGUAGAGGCAGGCGGAAUUCCGGGUGUAGCGGUGGAAUGCGUAGAGAUCCGGAAGAACACCGGUGGCGAAGGCGGCCUGCUGGGCAGUUGCUGACACUGAGGCGCGACAGCGUGGGGAGCAACAGG